ACGGGUAACGGGGAAUCAGGGUUCGAUUCCGGAGAGGGAGCCUGAGAAACGGCUACCACAUCCAAGGAAGGCAGCAGGCACGCAAAUUACCCACUCACAGCUCGUGGAGGUAGUGACGAAAAAUAACAAUGCGGGACUCUAUUGAGGCUCCGUAAUUGGAAUGAAUACAAUCUAAAUCCUUUAAUGAGGAUCAAUUGGAGGGCAAGUCUGGUGCCAGCAGCCGCGGUAAUUCCAGCUCCAAUAGCGUAUAUUAAAGUUGUUGCGGUUAAAAAGCUCGUAGUUGGAUCUCAGCUCAUUUUAGGUGGUCCGCUUGCCGGCGGUCACUACCUAUCUGAGCGAUUUACAGACCGGUCUUCUGAUGCUCUUUACCGGGUGUCAGGAGCAAUCUGUACGUUUACUUUGAACAAAUUAGAGUGCUAAAAGCAGGCGUAAUGCCCGAAUAAUCUUGCAUGGAAUAAUGGAAUAGGAUCUCGGUUCUAUUUUGUUGGUCUUUGGAACCUGAGAUAAUGAUUAAGAGG
rnacentral:rRNA from 2 species